rnacentral:rRNA from 1 species
GAUUGACGUUACCCGCAGAAGAAGCACCGGCUAACUCCGUGCCAGCAGCCGCGGUAAUACGGAGGGUGCAAGCGUUAAUCGGAAUUACUGGGCGUAAAGCGCACGCAGGCGGUCUGUUAAGUCGGAUGUGAAAUCCCCGGGCUCAACCUGGGAACUGCAUUCGAAACUGGCAGGCUAGAGUCUUGUAGAGGGGGGUAGAAUUCCAGGUGUAGCGGUGAAAUGCGUAGAGAUCUGGAGGAAUACCGGUGGCGAAGGCGGCCCCCUGGACAAAGACUGACGCUCAGGUGCGAAAGCGUUGGGAGCAAACAGGAUUAGAUACCCUGGUAGUCCACGCUGUAAACGAUGUCGAUUUGGAGGUUGUGCCCUUGAGGCGUGGCUUCCGGAGCUAACGCGUUAAAUCGACCGCCUGGGGAGUACGGCCGCAAGGUUAAAACUCAAAUGAAUUGACGGGGGCCCGCACAAGCGGUGGAGCAUGUGGUUUAAUUCGAUGCAACGCGAAGAACCUUACCUGGUCUUGACAUCCACAGAACUU